rnacentral:rRNA from 1 species
CCUUAAAACUAGCCUACCUACCAAUUUAACUAAACCUUAUUAAUUAAAUUUACACCAAAACCUCUACUUAAAACAUUUUAACCUUUUUAGUAUGGGUGACAGAAAAAAACCUCAGCGCAAUAGCUUAUGUACCGCAAGGGAACACUGAAAAAGAAAUGAAAUAAAUCAUUAAAGUAUUAAAAAGCAGAGACCCUCCCUCGUACCUUUUGCAUCAUGGUUUAGCUAGAAAAACUAGGCAAAAAGACUUUAAGUCUACCUCCCCGAAACUAAACGAGCUACUUCGAAGCAGCAUUAUUAGAGCCAACCCGUCUCUGUGGCAAAAGAGUGGGAAGACUUCCAAGUAGCGGUGAAAAGCCUACCGAGUUUAGUGAUAGCUGGUUACCCAAAAAAAGAACUUUAGUUCUGCAUUAAUUUUUAAUAACUAAAUAAGACCUCCUUAUUAAAGUAAUACAUAAGAAUUAAUAGUUAUUUAGAAGAGGUACAGCCCUUCUAAAUUAAGAUACAACUUUCUAAGGUGGGAAAUGAUCAUAAUUAUUAAGGCUUUUCCCCCCAGUGGGCCUAAAAGCAGCCACCUGUAAAGCAAGCGUCGCAGCUCCAGCCUUAUAAAAGCCCAUAAUUCAGAUACUUACUCAUAACCCCCUUAACACUAUUGGGUUAUUUUAUAAAACUAUAAAAGAACUUAUGCUAAAAUGAGUAAUAUGAGAAUAAACCUCUCCCGACACAAGUGUAUGUCAGAAAGAAUUAAAUCACUGAUAAUUAAACGACCCCAAUUUGAGGACAUUAUAGACUUAUAUAAUUAACUAGAAAACCCUAUUUUAUUACUCGUUAAUCCUACACAGGAGUGUCUCAAGGAAAGAUUAAAAGAAAAUAAAGGAACUCGGCAAACACAAACUCCGCCUGUUUACCAAAAACAUCGCCUCUUGCUAAACUAUAAGAGGUCCCGCCUGCCCUGUGAUAAUAUUUUAACGGCCGCGGUAUUUUGACCGUGCAAAGGUAGCGUAAUCACUUGUCUUUUAAAUGAAGACCCGUAUGAAAGGCACCACGAGAGUUUAACUGUCUCUAUUUUCUAAUCAAUGAAAUUGAUCUAUUCGUGCAGAAGCGAAUAUAAUAACAUAAGACGAGAAGACCCUAUGGAGCUUCAAACACUUAGACUAAUUAUGUAAAUUUUUUUACCCUUAGGGCAUAAACAAAAAUACAAUACUCCUAGUUUAACUGUUUUUGGUUGGGGCGACCGAGGGGUAAAAUAAAACCCCCUUAUCGACCGAACACUUAGUGUUUGAAAAUUAGAAUGACAAUUCUAAUUAAUAAAAUAUUUAUCGAAAAAUGACCCAGGAAUUCCUGAUCAAUGAACCAAGUUACCCUAGGGAUAACAGCGCAAUCCCUUCCCAGAGUUCCUAUCGACGAAAG